rnacentral:rRNA from 1 species
GUAACAAAUGGGAAGUAAUUCCUGCCCAGUGACUAAGUUCAACGGCCGCGGUAUCCUAACCGUGCAAAGGUAGCAUAAUCACUUGCCCAUUAAUUGUGGGCUAGAAUGAAAGGACCAACGAAAUAAAGACUGUCUCUAUAAGUCACUUAAAAAUUAAUCUCUAACUGAAGAGUGUUAGAUCUCGUCGAAGGACAAGAAGACCCUAUAGAGCUUUAUUUUAAUAAAAAUUAUAAAUUUUUAAUAAAUUCGGUUGGGGCGACCAGGGAAAUUAUCAAUCAUCCCCUAUAAAAAGAUAAAUUAAUCUAAACUCUGACCCU